rnacentral:rRNA from 1 species
GAGUUUGAUCAUGGCUCAGGAUGAACGCUAGCGGCAGGCUUAACACAUGCAAGUCGAGGGGUAGGGUUCUUCGGAACCUGAGACCGGCGCACGGGUGCGUAACGCGUAUGCAAUCUGCCUUUCACAGAGGGAUAGCCCAGAGAAAUUUGGAUUAAUACCUCAUAGUAUUACGAUAAGGCAUCUUAUUGUAAUUAAAGCCACAGCGGUGAAAGAUGAGCAUGCGUCCCAUUAGUUAGUUGGUAAGGUAACGGCUUACCAAGACUUCGAUGGGUAGGGGUCCUGAGAGGGAGAUCCCCCACACUGGUACUGAGACACGGACCAGACUCCUACGGGAGGCAGCAGUGAGGAAUAUUGGUCAAUGGGCGCAAGCCUGAACCAGCCAUGCCGCGUGCAGGAUGACGGUCCUAUGGAUUGUAAACUGCUUUUGUACGAGAAGAAACACCCCUACGUGUAGGGACUUGACGGUAUCGUAAGAAUAAGGAUCGGCUAACUCCGUGCC